rnacentral:rRNA from 1 species
CCCCCACAAAAGGAGGAGGCGGGCGCGCAAUUACCCAAUCCUGACUCAGGGAGGUAGUGACAAGAAAUAACAAUAAACCGGCUUAUGCCGGUUUAAUUGGAAUGAGUACAAUUUAAACAUCUUAACGAGGAACAAUUGGAGGGCAAGUCUGGUGCCAGCAGCCGCGGUAAUUCCAGCUCCAAUAGCGUAUACUAAAGUUGUUGCAGUUAAAAAGCUCGUAGUUGGAUUUCUGUGGGGACGGAGCGGCCGGCCGCACAUCGCGGUUCGAGCUAGUGCUUUCCCUACAUCCUGCCGCGAACCGUGCUACCAUUAGUUUGGUGGCGCCGGGGAUCGGCUCGAUUACUUUGAGAAAAAUAGAGUGUUCAAAGCAGGCCACAUGCCUUGAAUAAGUUAGCAUGGAAUAAUAACUAAGGACUUCGGUUCUAUUUUGUUGGUGUUCGGGACUGAAGUAAUGAUUGAUAGGGACAGUUGGGGCGGUCUGUAUUCCAAAGCGAGAGGUGAAAUUCUUAGACCUUCGGAAGACAAACAGCUGCGAAAGCGUUCCGCAAGGAUGUUCCCUUUGAUCAAGAACGAAAGUUGGGGGAUCGAAGACGAUCAGAUACCGUCGUAGUCUCAACUAUAAACUAUACCAGCUAGGGAUCGGCCAACGUUAUUUUAUACCGACUUGGUCGGCACCUUAUGAGAAAUCAAAGCAUCUGGGUUCCGGGGGGAGUAUGGUCGCAAGGCUGAAACUUAAAGGAAUUGACGGAAGGGCACCACCAGCCGUGGAGCCUGUGGCUUAAUUUGACUCAACACGGGAAAACUUACCAGGUCCAGACAUAGUAAGGAUUGACAGAUUGAUAGCUCUUUCUUGAUUCUGUGGGUGGUGGUGCAUGGCCGUUCUUAGUUGGUGGAGUGAUUUGUCUGGUUAAUUCCGUUAACGAACGAGACCCCAGCCUGCUAAAUAGCGCGAGUGAGCUUUGCUCGCUGCGAGCUUCUUAGAGGGACUAUGAUGCGCGAUAGCACAUGGAAGUUUGGGGCAAUAACAGGUCUGUGAUGCCCUUAGAUGUUCUGGGCCGCACACGGGCUACACUGGCGCCUGCAACGAGCAUAUCAGCUGGCCCGAGAGGGUCUUGGCUAAUCUUUUGAACCGGCGCCGUGCUUGGGAUUGACCUUUGCAAUUGUUGGUCAUGCAACGAGGAAUGCCUUGUAAACGCGAGUCAUCAGCUCGCAUUGAAUACGUCCCUGCCCUUUGUACACACCGCCGUCGCUCCUACCGAUGAAUGUUCCGAUGAAAUUUUCGGAGAGCACCUGUGAACUUGGCUCUGCCUUGCGAACGGGAGGCUCAAAGUCACUAAAAUCUGACCAUUAAGU